rnacentral:rRNA from 1 species
GGCCUAACACAUGCAAGUCGAGCGGUAGCACAGAGAAGCUUGCUUUUUGGGUGACGAGCGGCGGACGGGUGAGUAACGCGUAGGAAUCUACCUAAUGGUGGGGGAUAGCCCAGGGAAACUUGGAUUAAUACCGCAUAAGUCCUAAGGGAGAAAGCGGGGGAUCUUCGGACCUCGUGCCAUUAGAUGAGCCUGCGUAAGAUUAGCUAGUUGGUGAGGUAAGAGCUCACCAAGGCGACGAUCUUUAGCUGGUCUGAGAGGUUGAUCAGCCACACUGGGACUGAGACACGGCCCAGACUCCUACGGGAGGCAGCAGUGGGGAAUAUUGGACAAUGGGGGCAACCCUGAUCCAGCCAUGCCGCGUGUGUGAAGAAGGCCUUCGGGUUGUAAAGCACUUUCAGAUGUGAGGAAAGGUUACAGAUUAAUACUCUGUAGCUGUGACGUUAACAUCAGAAGAAGGACCGGCUAACUCCGUGCCAGCAGCCGCGGUAAUACGGAGGGUCCGAGCGUUAAUCGGAAUUACUGGGCGUAAAGCGCGCGUAGGUGGUUUCGUCAGUCAGAUGUGAAAGCCCAGGGCUCAACCUUGGAAUUGCACCUGAUACUGCGG